GAUAGGUGGGCUUAAGCCUGCAGUGCAGACGAAUUGGAGCACAGAGAGGAAGAUGAGCAUCACACAGAGGAUCAGGCAGACCGAGAAAGAAAGAACAAGUUUGUGAGGCAGGGAAAGCGAUAGACAAUUACUGCUACACAGGAAACCAUGCAAAAAGUUAAAAGUUUUGUUCCAAUAAGUACACUAAGCCAAAAGAAACAUGGCAGUUAUCUUCUGCCUGGCACAGAAACAAAUGGAUGGCUCUAAUCAAGAGUAUGAAUGGGGUUGACACUGAUGCUGACUAAUGCGAGCCAAGGAAGGACACAGCGGUACAUGCAGGGAGACAAGGGUUGCCAUGAGUGUCCUUUCAUCCACAAUGGCUGAAAACAAACAGCAGGCCAUUUCUGACCUCUAUUACUCAUGUAAGGUUACCCAUUUCUAUAGAUGGUGUGUGUAUGUGUGCGUAGUGUAACAUCCCUGGCUGAGUGCGUUACGGCACAUUCGCUUUACUUCUUAGAGCGUCCCUUACGGGCAGUUACUCUAUAACCAGGUUCAUCCACUCCCACCCUCCAAGGCUUUA